rnacentral:tRNA from 1 species
GCCUUCGUAGUGCAACUGGAAGCACACUCGAAGCGUAUUCGAGAGGUCUUGAGUUCGAAUCCCGGCGACGGCA